rnacentral:rRNA from 1 species
GACGAACGCUGGCGGCGUGCUUAACACAUGCAAGUCGAACGGAAAGGCCCCUUUGGGGGUACUCGAGUGGCGAACGGGUGAGUAACACGUGAGUAACCUGCCCUUGACUUCGGGAUAACUUCAGGAAACUGGGGCUAAUACCGGAUAGGAAUCCUUGCUGCAUGGUGGGGGUUGGAAAGCUUCGGCGGUUUUGGAUGGACUCGCGGCUUAUCAGCUUGUUGGUGGGGUAGUGGCUUACCAAGGCGUUGACGGGUAGCCGGCCUGAGAGGGCGACCGGCCACAUUGGGACUGAGAUACGGCCCAGACUCCUACGGGAGGCAGCAGUGGGGAAGAUUGCACAAUGGGCGGAAGCCUGAUGCAGCAACGCCGCGUGCGGGAUGACGGCCUUCGGGUUGUAAACCGCUUUCAGCAGGGGCGAAGCUUGUGGUGACGGUACCUGCAGAAGAAGCACCGGCUAACUACGUG